CUCGUAGUUUGAUCCUGGCUCAGAUUGAACGCUGGCGGAAUGCUUUACACAUGCAAGUCGAACGGUAGAGGGGGCAACCCCUUGAGAGUGGCGAACGGGUGAGUAAUAUAUCGGAACGUGCCCAGUCGUGGGGGAUAACGUAGCGAAAGUUACGCUAAUACCGCAUACGAUCUAUGGAUGAAAGCGGGGGUACUCGCAAGAGCCUCGCGCGAUUGGAGCGGCCGAUAUCAGAUUAGGUAGUUGGUGAGGUAAAGGCUCACCAAGCCAACGAUCUGUAGCUGGUCUGA
rnacentral:rRNA from 1 species